UACGGGGGGAGCAAGCGUUGUUCGGAUUUACUGGCGUAAAGGGCGCGUAGGCGGCCACUGCAAGUCAGUUGUGAAAUCUCCGGGCUUAACCCGGAAAGGUCAACUGAUACUGCAGGGCUAGAGUGCAGAAGGGGCAACUGGAAUUCUCGGUGUAGCGGUGAAAUGCGUAGAUAUCGAGAGGAACACCUGCGGCGAAGGCGGGUUGCUGGGCUGACACUGACGCUGAGGCGCGAAAGCCAGGGGAGCGAAACGGG
rnacentral:rRNA from 1 species